rnacentral:misc_RNA from 1 species
UUUGAGCAAUCUAAUUGAUACAAAAUGCGUUCAUCCGCCAUAUAGGCAAUGAGUGUACCUGGGGACAAAGAUGCUGAAGCAAUUGGAUAAAAACGAGAUAAAUGCGGUUUGAUUAUCUUUCUUACUUCGACUUCACCUUUGUUGCUGUCAACAACAUUCAAAGCAAAACCCCAAGGGUCCGGGUUGCGAAAACCAUCAUGGCGGUUACCAGCAAACAGGUACAACCAACGACCGUCAACAACAGCAGAUCUACCUCCACUGAAAGCGAAUGGCAAAGCAAAACAAGUCUUCCAACCAUCUCUAGCAUUUCUCGUGUCUAGACACCGUAUCUCCUUGCACCCAUCACCACCACAGCGCACCCAAAAUAUGUCAGUCAGGUUACUGCGGCCACCGAUGAGGUAAAUAAAAGAACCAAUAACUGCACAAUCGGCGCCCACAAGUGCAGGGCCUGGGUGGUUAACUUGAUUUAUAUCCUCGAAAACUCUCGAGAAUUGAAUCUCAACACCAUUAUCACCAUCGGUUUGUUUCAACAAAUACCAAUCGUUUGUUGCGUCCCUAUAGCCACUAUCUACAUCAUCUGAUUCAUACAAAGAUUCUCCCAACCUCAAAACGUGAAUAUAAAUCAACUUCUCCAUCUCAAAUAUUGAAGAAAACAACACCAGCAACCAAAAAUUCUGCGGCUAAGGUUUUUGAGUUAUCAAACCUCAGUUUCUGAGAGGUGUUCUCAGAUCUGAAAGAAACCUCAACAAAUCUUCUCGGAAUCAAUUUCACCCUGC